AACGCGAAGAACCUUACCUGGGCUUGAACCGCACAGGACCAUCUUUGGAAACAGAGACUUCCCGCAAGGGACCUGUGUAGAGGUGCUGCAUGGCUGUCGUCAGCUCGUGCCGUGAGGUGUUGGGUUAAGUCCCGCAACGAGCGCAACCCUUACUCGUAGUUGCCACCCGCAAGGGGGAACUCUACGAGGACUGCUCCGGAUAACGGAGAGGAAGGUGGGGAUGAGGUCAAGUCAGCAUGGCCUUUAUGUCCAGGGCUACACACGUGUUACAAUGCGCGCCACAAAGCGUCGCGAACCCGCGAGGGGGAGCUAAUCGCAAAAAAGCGCGCUCAGUUCGGAUUGCAGUCUGCAACUCGACUGCAUGAAGCCGGAAUCGCUAGUAAUGGCGCAUCAGAACGGCGCCGUGAAUACGUUCCCGGGCCUUGUACACACCGCGUGUCU
rnacentral:rRNA from 1 species